CUACGGUUUGGGCUCCAUUAAAGUAUAUAUCCUACUGGGAGGCAGAUUUAGGUUUUUCUUUGGAAACUAAGGAUUGGAUAGAUAUCUGGGAAACAGCAUCCAAAAUAUCGAUUUGUGUAAUCUCGCAGGAACAAAUGUUUAAGAUAUUAUUUAGGUGGCAUGUGACCCCUGUUUUUUUGUACAAAAUAGGUAAAAAUCUGAC